GCCAAAAAUCUAGCCACACACCCACGCAUCCAAACACAUUACCUUUCCUCAUUUAACAAAAUAAAACAUUCAACAAAUCUAGUAAAGGCGAUAAAAAAAUUGAUAUGAGCUAUAUUAAUAGUACCGCAAGGGAAAGCUGAAAUAGAAAUGAAACAAGUCCUUAAAGCAUAAAAAAGUAAAGGCCAGCCCUUGUACCUUUUGCAUCAUGGUUUAACUAGUCUUACUCAAGCAAAAUGAAUUACAGUUUGACCCCCCGAAACUAAGUGAGCUACUCCAAGGCAGCUUUAUGAGCCAACCCGUCUCUGUUGCAAAAGAGUGGGAAGACCUUUGAGUAGGGAUGACAGAUCUAACGAACUUAGUGAUAGCUGGUUACUCGAUAAAAGAAUUUAAGUUCCCCCUAAAGCUUGUUUAAGAAUCCAAACUACCUUUUCUGCUUUAGAGCUAUUCAGACAAGGUACAGCCUGUCUGAACCAGGAUACAACCUAGACUAAUGGGUUAAAAAUUAAAAAUUUUUUUUCAAGUGGGCCUAAAAGCAGCCAUCUUUCAAAAAGCGUCAAAGCUUCUCUUUAUGUUUUAAUUAAUUUCAAUAAUAGCCUUGACCCCUUUAUUAAAAUCGAGUAAUUCUAUAUAACUAUAGAACAUAUUAUGUUAAAACUAGUAACAAGAAGAUAGCCCUUCUCUACAAUGCAAGUGUAAGACAGAAGGAUAAACCGCUGUCAAUUAACACAAAUGAUACUCAAUUAGCAACACCACAAGAAAACCCUAAUUUAAAUAUUGUUAAACUAACACAAGAGCAUUUCAAGAAAGAUUAAAAGAAAGAGAAGGAACUCGGCAAACAAUAGCCCCGCCUGUUUACCAAAAACAUCGCCUCUUGAUUAAAUAUAAGAGGUCCAGCCUGCCCAGUGACCUAGUUCAACGGCCGCGGUAUCCUAACCGUGCGAAGGUAGCGUAAUCACUUGUUCUUUAAAUGGGGACUAGUAUGAAUGGCAUCACGAGGGUUAAACUGUCUCCUCUCUCUAAUCAGUGAAACUAAUCUCCCCGUGAAGAAGCGGGAAUAAUUUUAUAAGACGAGAAGACCCUGUGGAGCUUAAAACAAAUUAACACCUGCUUCUACCUAUUUUAUUCCUGAAUAAACGCAUAAAUAUAGCACCGCUGAUUAAUAGUUUUAGACUGGGGUGAUCUUGGAGCAAAAAACAACCUCCACGACGAAAAGGAAUAUUCCCUGAGCCAAAAGCCACAACUUUAAGCACUAAAAAAUUAACGCACCUUGACCCAAUUUUUGAUCAACGAACCAAGUUACCCCAGGGAUAACAGCGCAAUCCACUUUGAGAGCCCCUAUCGACAAGUGGGCUUACGACCUCGAUGUUGGAUCAGGGUAUCCCAGUGGUGCAGCCGCUACUAAAGGUUCGUUUGUUCAACGAUUAAAACCCU
rnacentral:rRNA from 1 species